rnacentral:rRNA from 1 species
CACGUAGGGCGCGAGCGUUGUCCGGAAUUACUGGGCGUAAAGGGCUCGGAGGCGGCCAGCUAAGUCGGACGUGAAAUCCCUCAGCUUAACUGGGGAACUGCGUCCGAUACUGGAUGGCUUGGAUUUGGGAGAGGGAUGCGGAAUUCCAGGUGUAGCGGUGAAAUGCGUAGAUAUCUGGAGGAACACCGGUGGCGAAGGCGGCAUCCUGGACCAAUAUUGACGCUGAGGAGCGAAAGCCAGGGGAGCAAACGGG